UACAGAGGUCCCAAGCGUUGUUCGGAUUCACUGGGCGUAAAGGGUGCGUAGGUGGCCAGGUAAGUCUGAUGUGAAAUCUCGGAGCUCAACUCCGAAACUGCAUUGAAUACUAUCCUGCUCGAGGUUUGGAGGGGGGACUGGAAUUCUCGGUGUAGCAGUGAAAUGCGUAGAUAUCGAGAGGAACACCAGUGGCGAAGGCGAGUCCCUGGACAACACCUGACACUGAGGCACGAAAGCUAGGGGAGCAAACAGG
rnacentral:rRNA from 1 species